CCACAAAAGACCUUGACUUAUAUUCACACAGGCACAAGUUGGUACAAGUAAUUAAAAAUUGUCAUUUUGGGAAUAUAAUUAAAACAAACUCAGUCCCAACAUGACCAAGCUGAACAUCAAAAUCAUUGAGGAUCACUGUUACCAGACACCACUGCAUGUUAAACGCACAGUAAAUACAAAGCUUGCCCAUGUUUCUCAGGUUGGAGAUACAUGUGUGGCAACUGUAGAGUCCAGCCCCCACUGAACAAUUAAACAAAUAAUGAAUCUGUGUAGUACCAGAAAAAUUGUAUCUUUUGGAUGGAAUUCAGAAUUACAAAUCAAAUAAACAUGCUCCUCCAUUGAUGAAGUUGUAUGUCACAAAACAAUCUCGGAAAUCUGUAAUUCAGACAAUCGUUCCAAAUUUGGACAAAUUGCAGUUUGUAUUAAAAUGAAUAUACAAAUCUUCUGCUCAAUUUUCUGCCAUUUAGGAGUUUAAUCACUUUGUCUAUGCAGCUUUAGCCACACCUCCCUGUCUAUGACACACACAGCCUCUCUACACACUUUCUGAUUUCGAGUCUAUUUUUUUUAGCUUCCUUCAUUAUACAGUGUGUUUAUUUAGAAUGUCUUAUCUCCUGC